UGCUUCAUGCAUCAUGAUUAUAUUAUAGGUUGUUUGCAUUAGAAUCACGAAUUAUGUUGCAUUGCAUUAUUAUUUGUUGUUGAUGGGGGAUGGACAUUGCACGACUCACUAGCCCUUCUACGAAGUCCUGUGGUGCCCAUAAUAGGGCCGGGCAAUAGCUCCGAUCUACGAAGUCCUGUGGUGCCCAUAAUAGGGCCGGGCAAUACGAAGUCCUGUGGUGCCCAUAAUAGGGCCGGGCAUGGAGCUGAGGGAUUUUUGGGUCAGUCCGUCCAUGAUGUGAAAUGUUUGUGCAGUGAUGCAUUCCAUGAUAACACGUUUUAA
rnacentral:lncRNA from 1 species